rnacentral:rRNA from 1 species
UACGUAGGGGGCUAGCGUUGUCCGGAAUCAUUGGGCGUAAAGCGCGCGUAGGCGGCCCAGUAAGUCCGUUGUAAAAGUCAAAGGCUCAACCUUUGAAAGCCGAUGGAUACUGCUGGGCUGGAGUCCGGAAGAGGCGAGUGGAAUUCCUGGUGUAGCGGUGGAAUGCGCAGAUAUCAGGAAGAACACCCGUGGCGAAGGCGGCUCUCUGGGACGGUACUGACGCUGAGACGCGAAAGCGUGGGGAGCGAACAGG